UGGCACGUAAUGCAGUUGUGUGAGCACACAUUUUCCACUUCUGGAUCAAGAAGGCAUGCAAAAAGAUGUUCUUCAUCUUCAUUUCCAUAACUAGGGUCAGUGCUUCUUAGUAUUUGGGUUAAGAUUUUCAGGUGAUAAGAUAGCCCUGUGCUCUUUGUGACUGUUUAUGUUCUGCAACUGGCAUGCAUGGCAUGAACAAACAAUUCACACAACGAAAGUACUCCAAACUGCCCACCACUGCUUUCCCCUCUAAUAAGAACUUUUCUGCGUAAGAUGCAGACCAUGCUACAGCUCUGCAGCUGAACUCGGUGUAUUCACAUGCAACAGUCAUGGAAGAAGCUGAGUUCUAUAGUUUUAAAGAACAAAUGCACUUUAAUUUUUAUUCAGGCCUGCCUGCAAUUAAGCUGAAGGGUUUGCAUGUCUGCUAGUCUACAUGUGGGUAGAAAGGCAGUGAGGUUAAGAUAAUAGGCUUAAAAUGUAUUCUCAGAAAACAUUUAAAACCACAGUAGGGUGUGAUUGUAUGCAAAUAAGUAUUUUUGCAAUAGCAGAUUAAGCACCUUAUGGAAUUUGUAUGGAAAGCUGCAUGCUUGUACAUGAUGCAAAGUAUGAUUAAGCACCGGUGUGUGUGGAGUUUUUGCCUUUGGUAAAAAAAAAAUUAAGGCAGAUUUAAAUCAAUCAUUGGCUUUCUCAGUCUUUACACAGCGUAAGCUGUAAGUUAUGAAUGGUGAUUAUAAGAGAGAAAAUGUUAAAAAUAACAUUUCUUUUUCCCCCCUGGGUCUGCAUCCUUAAAGCGUAUGUCCUGCUGUGGUUGCUAGGCCAGAAAAAGCAUUGCACUUGCAGAAGGUCUCUGCUGUAGGAUGGCAACGCAGAGGAUCUGCAACAGGGAGAAAAGAAAACUGGUGAACGAUGUCUUCCUAAUACAGCUAUUCUGGAAAAUGUGUGCAGAGGAGCCUGGAGGAUGGAGACCACGGAAUUCUUCUCAGGAUGGCCUGGCUCAGGUCUUUGUUUUCUACUGUUUGACAAGAGUGAUAAAGGAGCUGUAGCACAGAAAUGGGGAGGAAGGAGGAACUUACGAAGGACAGCUCUUCGGGCAAAUAUACAAAAUACACUGCAAGAAAAUGCAAAGUCCAUGUGAGGGCACACAGCAGCAACGGCUGGGUGGCAAAUGGAAAAAACUGUUUCUUUAAACUUACACAGAGGUGGCUACCAGGCUUCUGAGAGCUUUAGCUUAAUCCUUGUGAAGGAAUGCUGUAAAGUCUGCCUAUCGUGACAUAUAAAACAUUACAGAAGUAAGUGGC
ensembl:lncRNA